rnacentral:rRNA from 1 species
UCUUGCAUAUUCCCAAAAGCGGAGGAAAAGAAACCAACAGGGAUUGCCUCAGUAACGGCGAGUGAAGCGGCAACAGCUCAAAUUUGAAAUCUGGCCUCUUGGGGUCCGAGUUGUAAUUUGUAGAGGAUGUUUCGGGUACCGCCUCGGUUUAAAUUUCUUGGAACAGAAUGUCAAAGAGGGUGAGAAUCCCGUCUUGGACCGGCGGUAGGGCCUAUGUGAAACUCCUUCGACGAGUCGAGUUGUUUGGGAAUGCAGCUCAAAAUGGGUGGUAAAUUUCAUCUAAAGCUAAAUAUUGGCCAGAGACCGAUAGCGCACAAGUAGAGUGAUCGAAAGAUGAAAAGCACUUUGAAAAGAGAGUUAAACAGUAUGUGAAAUUGUUGAAAGGGAAGCGCUUGCAACCAGACUUGAGCGCGGCGGUUCCCCCUUGCUUCUGCUUGGGUUACUCCGCCGUGUCCAGGCCAACAUCGGUUCUGGGGGUCGGUCAAAGGCUCUGGGAAUGUAUCUACCCACGGGUAGACUUAUAGACCAGGGUGUCAUGCGACCUCCCGGGACCGAGGAACGCGCUUCGGCUCGGAUGUUGGCGUAAUGGUUGUCAGCGACCCGUCUUGAACAAACGGGACCCAAA